ACUUGUGGUGGAGCAGCAGAGUGAAGGAACACCAUGAGACUGCUGGCUCCAUCCACUGAGGCAGCUGGGUUCCGCAUUUUCCAAGUUUUAAUAAACUCGAAACUUUGAGAGCUCAUUUGCCAAAUUUAGGAAAAAACCCACAAAGCUGGUACACAAACAGCUAUAGAAUCUUGGGCAGAAAUAUCAGCAAACCUCCCUCCCAAGUCAUUCUGAGGGUCACCAUCGUGUGGUCCUGAAACUUCCUUCAACUCUCCAGGUCUAAGGCUGUCCUGGGGCUUCUAAACCCAGGUUCUCCCUGAGGACUGCUCUUAUGCACAUGGAAUAGCAGCCACAUGAUACUCCGACAGGGACAAGAAGCCAGCAUGUGAUCAGCCCAUUUGGUACCGCUUACAAGUCCAUGACACCAUCAACAGUAAACACUCGAGACUCCAGGCCGGCGGCGUGAGAUUGCGACCAAGCGAGAAGCUGCGGGUGUCGGGCAUCGUGGGAUGCGGCACAGGGAGGCAGUCACACCGCCGGCGAAGCGCCCCGGCGCCUCCACACAGGCCUAAACCUGUUUUACAAUAUUCAAGUUAUGUUUGCUCCUUAGCACAAAAAGUUGAGAGUUGGUGUCAAGUUAAAAAAUCUAGCAUUGGGCCUCCCUGGUGGCGCAAGGGGUUAAGACACAACUUAUGUUCCUCAGCCACCGCAGCAUGAGUUCAAUCCCCAGCCAGGAAAAUACCCACAAGCGCAGCAGACCUCUCCUGACUGUGACCUCUCCUCUCCCACUGCUCCCCUCAGCAGUGUCUCCCACUCUGUCUCUGGUGAAUCCUUUCACCCCCAUACCUCUGGCCUGUACCCUGGUUCUUAUAUGCAUAAAUAUUAAAUCUUGCAAAAAAUCUGGCAUUACCAUUAUAAAUCAGUAAUGAUAAUGAGUUGGCCUUCUAGUUUUAUAUCUAAACUUGGGCAGGUAGUAGUAGUUAUGUGAUUGGAAUAACAAGGUAUAAAAUUUGUGCUUAGUACAACUUAGUGAGCAAAUGUCCAUAAUUUUCCUCCUAUUGGAACACACUGCCUUAGGAAGCUAUAUACAUUCAAGAAAUACUAACAUUUACUAUCUCUAAAUAAGAAGAAACUAAAGACAGAUUACAGAUAUAGUCAUUGGGUUUCUUAAUAGCUUAAAACAAAAGUAAACAGUAUUUUGCCACUGUCACUAGUAUUCCACAAAACACCAAAAUUCAUUAAAACCACUAAAUUAUCCUGCUUUAUAUAGUUUUUCAUGUAAUUAAACUUUGGUUACAUCUAAAAUCUCAAGUCAAAUUAUUCUUACCCAUAAUUACUUCUAAGUCACUAGAAUAGAGAAAUAUAAAAAAAAUAGGGACAACUCC